rnacentral:rRNA from 1 species
CUACGGGACGCAGCAGUGGGGAAUAUUGCACAAUGGGCGCAAGCCUAAUGCAGCAACGCCGCGUGAGGGAUGAAGGCCUUCGGGUUGUAAACCUCUUUUAGCAGGGAAGAAGCGAAAGUGACGGUACCUGCAGAAAAAGCACCGGCUAACUACGUGCCAGCAGCCGCGGUAAUACGUAGGGUGCAAGCGUUGUCCGGAAUUAUUGGGCGUAAAGAGCUCGUAGGCGGUUUGUCACGUCUGCUGUGAAAAUCCAAGGCUCAACCUUGGACUUGCAGUGGGUACGGGCAGGCUAGAGUGCGGUAGGGGAGAUGGGAAUUCCUGGUGUAGCGGUGGAAUGCACAGAUAUCAGGAGGAACACCAAUGGCGAAGGCACAUCUCUGGGCCGUAACUGACGCUGAGGAGCGAAAGCGUGGGGAGCGAACAGGAUUAGAUACCCCGGUAGUC